rnacentral:misc_RNA from 1 species
AGCAGCCGCGGUAAUUCCAGCUCCAAUAGCGUAUAUUAAAGUUGUUGCAGUUAAAAAGCUCGUAGUUGAAUUUCGGGAUCAAUUAGUCGGUCGUGCCUCUGGUACGUACUGGUUUUAUUGGUUCCUCCCUUCUGACGAAACAUGAUGUCAUUAAUUUGGUGUCGUGGAGAAUCAGGACUGUUACCUUGAAAAAAUUAGAGUGUUUAUAGCAGGCUAACGCUUGAAUACAUUAGCAUGGAAUAAUGAAAUAGGACGUUCGACCCUAUUUUGUUGGUUUCUAGGAUCGACGUAAUGAUUAAUAGGGAUAGUUGGGGGCAUUAGUAUUCAAUUGUCAGAGGUGAAAUUCUUGGAUUUAUUGAAGACUAACUACUGCGAAAGCAUUUGCCAAGGAUGUUUUCAUUAAUCAAGAACGAAAGUUAGGGGAUCGAAGACGAUCAGAUACCGUCGUAGUCUUAACCAUAAACUAUGCCGACUAGGGAU